rnacentral:rRNA from 1 species
UACGAAGGGGGCUAGCGUUGCUCGGAAUCACUGGGCGUAAAGCGCACGUAGGCGGCUUUCUAAGUCAGGGGUGAAAUCCUGGAGCUCAACUCCAGAACUGCCUUUGAUACUGGAGGGCUUGAGUCCGGAAGAGGUGAGUGGAACUCCGAGUGUAGAGGUGAAAUUCGUAGAUAUUCGGAAGAACACCAGUGGCGAAGGCGGCUCACUGGUCCGGUACUGACGCUGAGGUGCGAAAGCGUGGGGAGCAAACAGG